CAGACAUAACACAAUUUUUGAGUAAAUGUCAGCGCAAAUAAUCCACAUUAAACCUGCGACCUUAAAUAUAAACAGCAGCAAAUAUUGAAUAUAAAACAUAUGAGGCCUUGAUCUUGUCUGCUUCCUUGUAGUUUGCACUGAUAAAAGCAAUUUGGCGAUUAAAUUGGCUCCAUAAUUCAGACACACUAUUUUUAUGUGAUUUAACUUCCUGCAAUCGGUGCUGCGAGUCUGACAGACGCUCUGAGAGGAAAAACAUGAUGUGUUUCUCUGAUUUGGGAAAAAACUAUUAAUCAUCACACUUAUGUUUAACGUGUAAGGCGCGCGAUGAGGGGCGGUCCUGCUUACGUCAUUUUGGGCACGAGGACUCGUAUAAACAAACCGGGUCUGCGUUCCUGUCCUCGCGCAUUCAGGUCACCGCACGCGACUUCACUUCAUCCUGAGUUAAACACUUUUAACGGAGAUGCGCGAGACGAGUCUGAGGGAACUUUACUUCCUGUGUAUCAUUGUCUGGUGUCUCACCGGGUUUUGUUCUGAUGUCGAAUGUUAUCCAUUGCUAGACUGUGGAGAAGAUGAAGACUACACACAGGGUUCGGCAGUGCAGAGCUCUCUGUGUGGACUGGUGUGGGGAGACCAGAACAAGGAGCAGAUUCAGAAUGUCUUCAAACGGUUCUUAUUUCAUUACUCGAAAGCACGGAACUCAGUAGGCACUGUUGAGAGAGAGUCUCACUCCGUCCACCCCUUGAUGCGUCUUUCACCCAAGUUUAGUCUGCGAAGGAAGAAACAGCAACUUUUGUCGUGACUUUGUCUUUCUCUUAGAGACACUGAAGAUGAUGUGUGAUCACUCAGACACAGUCUAAGAUGUUCACAGAUGACUCAAGCCAGUUUUCUCAGGAAUGGAAGCUUUAAACCAUUAAACCACUUCCGUAAAGCAGCUCAGUGUGAUGAUAAACGUAGGAAGCCCUUGAUGAUUUAUUCACUGAUUUUCAACCUUUGGAAGCCAGAAACUCCUCAAUAAAUAGAAAUGAGCCCAGUAGAGUGUGAGGGACUGGGAUCAGACUGAGACACUAAUGUAAAAGGACAGAAGCAGCUCAGCUUACGUCCCAUGUUAUAAAUGUUAAAAUCUUAAGUUAAGACUUUCUUUUCUGAUCGCUUCUUGGUUGAAUCAUUCUGAAAACUUCAGGCAGAUCAUCUAGCAGUAGGUAAAAGACCAAUCCAGACACAGAGGGGUAUAAUACCUAAAGUUAGUGAUUAAGUGCCAGUGUACAAGUGCGUUCCUGUUUAAAUGAAACGUUUUUUCGUUUCCCUUUUUUCCCUACACAGAUUUAACUGGAUGUUCAGUGGGAUGUUGAUGUCAUGUGGACUGUAACAAUCAAACCUGUAAAUAAAUUCAAGCUCAUG